AGGGGUGUAGCUCAGUGGUAGAGCCUAGGCCUCCGAAGCCUAUGGACGGGCGUUCGAUUCGCCUUACCCCUA
rnacentral:tRNA from 1 species